rnacentral:rRNA from 1 species
UAACGAAUGUGAAUGCAGAAAUAUGUUGGAAGGCUCAUUUGUCAUUGAUAUUGGAUAGAACCAGGGGUUCAAAUACCAGCAGCCAACACCGCUAAUUUUCUCUUAAACCAACAUGCCCUUCUUUCAAAAUGUUUAAAAAUAUCAUCAUUCGUGCUUUCGUCUGACAGUAAUCUCCAGUACAGUGUAUUAACUUGAAAAAGAGACGAACUAAAUCAAGCUAGGCAAUAGAAGAGCAAGAGGAGCUUACCCAUCUUCUUCUUCCCGCGCUUCUCCAGAUGAACGCCAGCGGCUCGGCUCGCGACAGCGUUUUGGGGCAGGCGCGCGGGUAGCGCCGU